GCAACCAUAGCCCAAGGGCUGCUCUGUCUAUGGAGUAGCCAUUCUUUAUUCCUUUACUUUCUUAAUAAACUUGCUUUCGCUUUACUCCAUCAACUCACCCUGAAUUCUUUUUUGAGUGAGAUCCAAGAACCCUUUCUGGGGGUCUGGAUCAGGACCCCUGUCCAGUAACACUAACUUGAAAGGACAUUUGGAAAUGUAAUGUAGCUGUGAGCCUAGAAGGAUGGGGAAAGAAUUUGUGCAUUUGAACUUCAGUGGACUCCCUAUUUUCAUGGCUUUCUGGACUUUAAACUUACUGCUGAUUGAUUGAAAAAGCUUAUAUCUACUACUUUAUAUUAAGUGAGUCUCCAUGGCUACAGUUUGCUGAAGUGUGUUGCUGAGAAAUUGAUGAGAGGAAACCUCAACACAUGCCAGUGCUGCUUCCUUCAGGUUGAUUCAACAGAAGUUUAUUCCACCCAGAUCCUAUGUGCUGUGCCUGGAUGUGCCUCUGGAGAGCAUCGAACUAUCUCUGUAUAUGGACAGGUUUUCACUCAAUUUUUUAAAUCCCAAAGCAGUGUCAUGGAAUUUUAGAAUUAAAAAAAGGACCUUCAGGCUGGGCGCGGUGGCUCAUGCCGGUAAUCCCAGCACUUUGGGAGGCCGAGGUGGGCAGAUUGCCUGAGGUCAGCAGUUGGAGGCCAGUCUGGCCAACAUGGUGAAACCCUGUGUCUACUAAAAAUACACAAAAAUUAGCCGGGUGUGGUGGCAUGCACCUGUAAUCCCAGCUACUCGGGAGGCUGAGGCAGGGGAAUUGUUUCAACUAGGGAGGUGAAGGUUGCAGUGAGCCAAGAUGGUAUUCCAGCGUGGGCGACAAAGCGAGACUCCAUCUCAAAAACAAAAUAAAGGACCUUAGAGGUUAAAAUCUUUCACUCAUUGUAGGAGUCUUCUACAAUAUGCCUGGAAAGUUUUUACCAGUCUUAAAGCUUGACUGCUUUCUAUCAUGUAAACAUCUAAAAUAGGCAUCAUAUUCCUUUGCUAGGUAGCUCCAAUAAUUAUUUUGCUCAUAAAAUAUUAAGACAAAGUUUGUAUCCCUGGAAUACAUUUAAUGCCUCAAUUUUGAAAAAGUCAUUACUGUGCUCCAUGAGUAUUAGGUAUAACUGGAAAAUUGUUUAUAUUAUUAGCUGGAUAUGAUGUAUUUUUAGACACUCAAUAAAAAUUGUACAUAAUGUG
rnacentral:lncRNA from 1 species